rnacentral:lncRNA from 1 species
GUUAUCUGUCCACAGUGGGUGGAAUGGAAACAGCUGUGGGAGCAAGGGCAGGGCAAGGGCCUGAGGGCUCUGCCGGAAGUCAGGCCUUUGUGGAGUCUGCACAGGGCAGGCACUUCUGGAAGAUUGAAAAGCCUCCAUCAGCCUCUCUCAUCACAGAGCCUGCCUCUGCUCCUCACUGGCCCUAUUUCCACCUGGAUGGCAUAAUGUAUGCCAGGAAAGCAGGCUCCUACUCUCUGAUGAGUUCUACAAAAAUAAACACAGAAGACUUCCUGAAACACACACAGCUGCCAGGGAAAACUGACUACCCAAGUCAUGGGGCCCAGAGCAAAAGGAAAAGGUGCUGCUCACAAAAGGGCGAUUCCAGCUGGCUUUUCCAUCUUGCCGAAGGUGAAUUAAAGAGAAGAUGGAUCUCUCUCCACUCAGCCCAUGCUAUGGAAAUCCCCACUGUUGGUGGUGGGAUAUAAAUGGUUACAGGGAGCCGGCUGCAUGCAUGUGUUACUUCACAGCGGUUUCUGGAAAUUGCACUACUGGCUGUUGCCCAUGACACUUGCUCACCCCCUGGGAAGUUGGUCAUAGAGUUGAUGUCCUCUGAUCACCAGGCUGUAUUCUGGGAGCUUCUAGCUCUGCCUGCA